AGUGUGCAUGUCAUUAAUGACACUGUCCUGUAAUUUAAAGUUAUUAAGGUAAAUCUGUGUUAUGUGCUGCUUCUCAAUGCAUUGGAAAGGCAGCGAGUGAGAGAAGAGGCAUAAGCCAUGUCCGUAGCCCCAUGGGCAAGCCGUGUAGCCACUCGUUGACCCUUAACCAUCUCCACAGCUAUGGAUUACACGGCCAGGCCCUGUCCACCUGCCAACUCUGAAUCAGCUCUGCACUUUGUUUCACCUUGGCUGGGACAACAAAGGCAUCAUGCAGCCAAUCAGCAUGAUCUUGGAAGAGGCCAAUGCCUGGAAAGGAAAGGGUUUCCAGAGUCACCCUCCCACGGUGACAGAGUGAGAGCCAGCCAUCGCAUACAACCUUGGAGAGGGUGGGAGGUGGACGUAGACCCCCUGAGAAGCUGAAACUCAAGCCAGGAAGAAAACAGUAAGAAACAGUAAGAAACCAGGCCUUUUGAGUGUGGCUUUCAGAGGUGUCUGGGUCUGAAAGUGCUGGCGUUAAGUCCAACAGUCUGCUUGGACCCUGGCCUGUGGCUUACAUCCACCAGAGACUAAUGAUCUGAUUGCUUUCUACCGACAUGAGCAAGGACAUACCUUGGCUUGGACAGUUAACACAGUCUGUGGUGUACUGACAGAGGGGUCUCAGGAUUGGGGGCACAUCACAACCUACAGGCCAGAAAGUGUUUAUACAUACAAAAGGCAAGGGGAGCUGAAGUGCAAGAAGUCUGUGGGAAAGUACCUGUCAAUGGCCAUCCCACCCUGAGCAUGCCUAAUCUUGUCUGUGGAAAACAACCUUCCCACGUGUGCUUCACAUGGAACUGAGAACUAUGGAAUGUGAAAGGAAUGUGAAGGAUGGAGCUGAAGCUUCCUAGUUGAGCUGGAACAGCUUUCCAACGAGAACAGUCAUAGUGUUGCCAUGGAUUGAGCAGCUGUUUUCCACCAGGCCCUUCAACCAUGCUAUUUCUGCCUUAGAGUCAACUGACCAUGGACUGAACCCUCAAACUGUUUGUGCUGCAUCUGCACGGACACCUUUAAACAGGAAUACAGUGGCACGGGGAUGCUUCCUCAGCAGACUCCAUCAGCCACAGGAUUGCCCAGGCUUUCCAAUCCACCUUCCUCAGCCUCCCAGAGUGUUGGGAUUCCUUGUCAAUGUGCCUGGCCUCCACAAAACGUGUGUACGAGUGACACUGUCACGGGAGCAGUGCAGACGAGCACACCACGCAGAGGCAUAGAGAGGAGGCCACAGUCUGGUGGGACAGGAAGCCAACCACACAGCCCCAGCCUGGAAAUGAUGCCACCCAAAGUCUGUAGGGAACAGUGAGGAGAGCUGCUCUGACAUGACGCUGUGGCCCUGGGGGAGGCAGCAUCUUAGCUUGGUUUGGAGCGUGGAUCUGAGUCCGGGUAGAGGUUGGGGAAUAUUCCAGAGAGCAAAGAGAAAGCAGCUUGAAUCAAUCGCAGAGGAGGCAGCACAUGGGGGAAGCAGCAAGCUCUUCAGUUUUAGCUUGCAAGUCAUUUUGAGGAAGAGAAAUGUGAAAGAAUAUCUACAUGGAGGCAGGAAAAAAGUUACAGACAAAAGCCGAGUGCUUAUGCACCUGUAACUCCAGCUCUCAGGAGACUGAGGCAGGAGGAUUGCAAGUUCAGGCCAGAGUGGGCUACUCUGAGAUCCUGUUGCAAAACACAAAACAAGACAAAUCAACGUAAACAAAAACCAGAACAAGACAAAAGUUGAAGACAAGAUCACUUUGGAGGCUCAGUUUAAAGUGACUCUUGUUAAGAAAAUAAUGAAAGAAGAUGGUAUAAAGCAUUCUGCCAGGGUAAGGGUUGGGAACGGAAAUAAAGCUCUCACAUGGGCAGCACCUUGUAUUUGAAAUCGGUGUAAGGAUGAAGAAGACAAUGCUGAGCUGGCUCCCUGGCAGUUACUUACUUACUUUGCAGCCCUGGAGAUUGAACCCAGCGUGUUCACACUGAGCUCCAUCCCCAGCCUUUAAACUUUUUUAUUUUGAGGCAGAGUCUUGCUGAGUUGCCCAGGCUGGGCCUGAACGCUCGGUCCUUCUGCCUCGGCCUCCCAGAAUGCUGGGAUGACAAGCGUUCAGCACGUAUUCCACUUAUUUUUCAUUUUUAAAUGAUGCCCGUCACUGUUCUCAUAGUCACAUACAGCCUAGGUCUGCAACAGCAGGAGCUGAAAAGCGCUUGACCAUGCGACAGGUGGUGGGAGCGUCGGAGUGGGCAGAGCGGGCUGUGGGCGCUGGCCUCAGCCCGGCGUCUGAGCUCGGCCAGCAGCCGGAGAUGCUGUUCCCCGCGGUGCCCCUCCACGCAAGCCUCAGGCGCCC
ensembl:lncRNA